rnacentral:rRNA from 1 species
AGCAGCCGCGGUAAUUCCAGCUCCAAUAGCGUAUAUUAAAGUUGUUGCAGUUAAAAAGCUCGUAGUUGAAUUUCGGGAUUAAUAUGCUGGUCGUGCCAUUGGUACGUACUAGUAUUAUUGAUUUCUCCCUUCUGAUAAAUCAUGAUGUCAUUAAUUUGAUGUCAUGGGGAAUCAGGACUGUUACUUUGAAAAAUUAGAGUGUUUAAAGCAGGCUCGCGCUUGAAUACAUUAGCAUGGAAUAAUGAAAUAGGACGUUUGAUUCUAUUUUAUUGGUUUCUAGGAUUGACGUAAUGAUUAAUAGGGAUAGUUGGGGGCAUUAGUAUUCAAUUGUCAGAGGUGAAAUUCUUGGAUUUAUUGAAGACUAACUACUGCGAAAGCAUUUGCCAAGGAUGUUUUCAUUAAUCAAGAACGAAAGUUAGGGGAUCGAAGACGAUCAGAUACCGUCGUAGUCUUAACCAUAAACUAUGCCGACUAGGGAUCGGAUGAUGUUAAUUAUGACU